rnacentral:misc_RNA from 1 species
UUUCCGUAGGUGAAACUGCGGAAGGAUCAUUAUUGUAUAACCGAGGUGCGAGGGCUGUCGCUGACCCGAAAGGUCGUGCACGCCCGAGUGCCCUCACACACAUCCAUCUCACCCCUAUGUGCACCACCGCGUGGGUCCCCCUUUGGCUUGUUCGGAGGGGGGCUUACGUUUUCACACAAACUUUGUAUGCAGUGUAGAAUGUAUUUUUUGUUUUUGCGAUCACGCAAUCAAUACAACUUUCAACAACGGAUCUCUUGGCUCUC